AACGAACGCUGGCGGCAGGCCUAACACAUGCAAGUCGAGCGGGGGAGCAAUCCCUAGCGGCGGACGGGUUAGUAACGCGUGGGAACAUACCCUUUGGUACGGAAUAGCCUCGGGAAACUGAGAGUAAUACCGUAUGUGCCCUUCGGGGGAAAGAUUUAUCGCCAAAGGAUUGGCCCGCGUUGGAUUAGGUAGUUGGUGGGGUAAUGGCCUACCAAGCCUACGAUCCAUAGCUGGUUUGAGAGGAUGAUCAGCAACACUGGGACUGAGACACGGCCCAGACUCCUACGGGAGGCAGCAGUGGGGAAUCUUAGACAAUGGGCGAAAGCCUGACGCAGCGACGCCGCGUGGGUGAUGAAGGCCUUCGGUCGGUAAAGACCUCGUCGCAGGGGAAGGAAUAAAGACAUACGGUAUAAUAACGCCGGU
rnacentral:rRNA from 1 species